rnacentral:rRNA from 1 species
GCUGCAUGGUUGUCGUCAGCUCGUGCCGUGAGGUGUCGGGUUAAGUCCCAUAACGAGCGCAACCCUUACUGUUAGUUGCCAGCGGGUAAAGCCGGGGACUCUAGCGGGACUGCCACCGUAAGGUGAGAGGAAGGUGGGGAUGACGUCAAAUCAGCACGGCCCUUAUGUCCAGGGCUACACACGUGUUACAAUGGCCGGUACAGAGGGCAGCUACAUCGCGAGAUGAUGCUAAUCCCGAAAGCCGGUCUCAGUUCGGAUCGAAGUCUGCAACCCGACUUCGUGAAGUUGGAUUCGCUAGUAAUCGCGCAUCAGCCAUGGCGCGGUCGAAUACGUUCCCGGGUCUU